AACGAACGCUGGCGGCGUGCCUAACACAUGCAAGUCGUGCGAGAAAGUUCCUUCGGGAGCGAGUAAAGCGGCGCACGGGUGAGUAACACGUAGGUAACCUGCCCCCCAGUCUGGAACAACUAGAGGAAACUCUAGCUAAUGCCGGAUGAGACCACGAUCCCUUCGGGGGUUGCGGCCAAAGAUGGCCUCUACUUGUAAGCUAUCGCUGAGGGAUGGGCCUGCGGCCAUUAGCUUGUUGGUGAGGUAACGGCUCACCAAGGCUGUGAUGGCUAGCUGGUCUGAGAGGAUGACCAGCCACACUGGGACUGAGACACGGCCCAGACUCCUACGGAGGCAGCAGUGGGGAAUAUUGCGCAAUGGGCGAAAGACCUGACGCAGCGACGCCGCGUGGGUGAUGAAGGCCUCGGUCGGUAA
rnacentral:rRNA from 1 species